rnacentral:rRNA from 1 species
CAGCCGCCGCGGUAAUACGAAGGGGGCUAGCGUUGCUCGGAAUGACUGGGCGUAAAGGGCGCGUAGGCGGAUUGUUUAGUUAGGCGUGAAAUUCCUGGGCUUAACCUGGGGACUGCGCUUAAUACAGGCAGUCUAGAGUGAGGAAGAGGGUUGUGGAAUUCCCAGUGUAGAGGUGAAAUUCGUAGAUAUUGGGAAGAACACCGGUGGCGAAGGCGGCAACCUGGUCCUUGACUGACGCUGAGGCGCGAAAGCGUGGGGAGCAAACAGGAUUAGAUACCCGUGUAGUCCCUGUCUCUUAUAU